rnacentral:snRNA from 1 species
GAGCUCGCUUCAGCAGCAUAUAUACCAAAAACUGGAAUGGUGCAGAGAAGAUUAGCAUGACCUCUGCACAAAGAUGGCACACAAAUUUGUGAAGCAGUCCAUAUUUAG